GUGCAUGUGAUGUAAACUUUUUAUUUGCUCUGAAUGUCUGUGAUGCAUUCAAAGGAACCACUGAUGCAA
ensembl:snoRNA SNORD42 Small nucleolar RNA SNORD42